GCCUUCGUGGUGUAAUGGUCAGCACCCUGAGCCAGUAUUUCAGAGGUCCGCGGUUCGAUUCCCGGCGAAGGCG
rnacentral:tRNA from 1 species